rnacentral:rRNA from 1 species
GACGAACGCUGGCGGCGUGCCUAAUACAUGCAAGUUGAGCGAUGAAGAUUGGUGCUUGCACCAAUUUGAAGAGCAGCGGACGGGUGAGUAACGCGUGGGGAAUCUGCCUUUGAGCGGGGGACAACAUUUGGAAACGAAUGCUAAUACCGCAUAACAACUUUAAACAUAAGUUUUAAGUUUGAAAGAUGCAAUUGCAUCACUCAAAGAUGAUCCCGCGUUGUAUUAGCUAGUUGGUGAGGUAAAGGCUCACCAAGGCGAUGAUACAUAGCCGACCUGAGAGGGUGAUCGGCCACAUUGGGACUGAGACACGGCCCAAACUCCUACGGGAGGCAGCAGUAGGGAAUCUUCGGCAAUGGACGAAAGUCUGACCGAGCAACGCCGCGUGAGUGAAGAAGGGUUUCGGAUCGUAAAACUCUGUUGGUAGAGAAGAACGUUGGUGAGAGUGGAAAGCUCAUCAAGUGACGGUAACUACCCAGAAAGGGACGGCUAACUACGUG